UACGAAGGGUGCAAGCGUUAAUCGGAAUUACUGGGCGUAAAGGGCGCGCAGGCGGUAUAUCAAGUCAGCUGUCAAAGACUGGGGCUCAACCCUGGUAUGCGGUUGAAACUGAUAUGCUGGAGUGCUGUAGAGGCAAGUGGAAUUACCAGUGUAGCGGUGAAAUGCGUUGAUAUCAUGAGGAACACCGGUGGCGAAGGCGGCUCUCUGGAAUCCUGCUGACGCUGAGGCGCGAAAGCCGGGGGAGCAAACA
rnacentral:rRNA from 1 species